rnacentral:tRNA from 1 species
GCGCCCGUAGCUCAGUUGGAUAGAGCGUCGGAAUACGAAUCCGAAGGCCGGGAGUUCAAGUCUCUCCGGGCGCACCA